GGUAAUUUUUGUGUGGGAAGGUGAAUCUCCUGUCCAUCUUCAGCUGUCUAGCAAAGGGACACAUAUUACAACAAUUUGGAUCCAUUUGGCAGCAUCCAUUUACCCUUCAUUCUUAACCAAUUGACCAGUUCCAGGUGAAGAGAAACAUCCCCAUCAUCAUGCUUCAUGGCCAGCUUUGUGUAAAAGCUCGUGAGAUUGUUGUCACAUGGACAUAAUCGACCAAUCUCAGGCGUACAGACUUGUAGGUCCUUCAAAGUUGCCAUUGGCCUCUUGGUAGCUUCCCUGAUCCAUGUCCUCCUGGCUUGGACAUCCAGCUUGGAGGGACAGUUCAACCUUGGCAAGAAAGCAGCUUUCCAACCAUGGUGAAUUGUACUAUCCUGCACUGCUAGUAGUGGAAUUUCCAAAGAAUGACUGGAUUUAUUCUGAAGUAAUCAAGACCGCUACAAUUGAUGUCAGGUGUGGGCCAAUUAGCCUGGUGUGUGAUCUGGAAGGUGAUUAGUUGUAUCCGAUCAAUUUUAUAAUGAUUACUCUAAUAGGCUGGUAACUUAUCCAAACCAGUAAUUUUACUAAUUACAUUAUAAGAAUUUAGCAGAUUUUUUAAAAGUGUCAUUUUCACUUUGAUGAUGAGAGUAAUUCUGUCUAAACAAAGCUGGAAAAAGUCAGACUUCAUUUAUUUUCGUUUUCAUGGUAUAAUGUGACAAAAGGAAAGGAUUUUGAUGUUGUAUGAUGGUUUCUAUAUGUUCUGUAUAUCAGACCAAAACAAAAUUCAGUUACAGUCAAAUCAUUUAAGAGUCUUAAAUGCUAGUUUUCAUUUACUGUUGAUUGUUGAUUCUUGCAUUUAGACGUUUUUGAACAUGCCCUCCAAGUCCUUGCUUCAGUGUUUACAAAAAAUAUUGUUCUGAAAUGCCUGAUUGUGGCUUUAAUGCAUGGUUAUUUAUUCCAAGAUUAAAGAUAUGGUAUUUAUGUAAUGCAAGCAUGUUGCAGCUGUAAAUGCGUAAUAUGCCAAGCUUGUUUAAAAGGCUUGAAGCCUCUCCUCUGAGUCUCACCCCUACAGUCAUAUUGGUUAUUUUAGGUUUCAAAUUCAGAUUACAAAUUAAAGAUCCUAUCUACUUAUGAUACUACUUAUGAUACACAUCUUCAAUAUCAACAGGGGCUCAAAUGGCAGUAUUUAGUAUUUAACAUUGAACAUUAGUGUUUUUUUAUAAAAUGAAAAUUGGGAAUCCAUUAAAUUAAUGAAACAUUAAUGAAAAAUGUUUAUCAUAAUGUUUACCAUUUACUAAGUGUAACAAUUCUGUCACAUUAUUUAGGCAGUAUAUGUUGCUUCAACAUAUAUGUGGAAUAAGUGUAUAUAAUCUUUUACCAAGAUACUUACUUUCCUUGGCUAAUUACUGUGUAGUGAUUUAAGAGCUGGACAGCAGAUCUAAUUUAUUGUCAUUCUUUGUUGUUAAUUUAAAAACUUAUCAUUGUGACUAAUCCUGUUCAUUUGAAUGAACAUUCAUGACUAAGAUCUGCUCUUAUCAAUCUCAUGGCAGUUAAACCAGAAACAACAAUAUUUUAGGUAGAGAUAUCAUUUCUAGUAAGCUUUUCAUGCACAGGUGCUGAAGUGUCAAAUGCUUUCCGUUCCCUGCUUUCUUCUCUUGGCCUUUGUGCCUUUUUUUACAUUAUACCAUCUAUUAACAGUUAUCAUAGCCACAACCCUAAAUUUAAUCUGAUAUCUGAAUAAAGAUUCUUUCGUUUGAUAUUCAGUAUUUUAAGCAGUACUUUGUUACAUUGACUAAUUAAGCCCUUACUAUUUUAUAUUCAGUGCAACCAGCAUGAUGGUCAGCUAAGGCAAGCAAUAGUUGGAUUUAAAAUGUAUUCCUUUUGUGUUCUGUUCUGUGAAUAUAUAUUCUAUACACUCUGCUAGACACAGGAGCAGAAAUAUACAGAUGAUAUUUUCAUAAAUACUUAUUCAGACUUGAGGAAAGCAUGGUCUUUGCCUUUCUAUUCAGGCUGACCACACAAACUGGGUUUUAAGCAAAAAGUAACACCAUUCCUGCUGUACAAGUAAUUGUAAUGUAGCACAUCCAGGCCUUAAGAAACAAGUAUAACAGAAAGAAAGAAAGAAUAAACAAUAUAUCAGUAAAGAAAAAAAUAAGAAACCAAUAAGCAAAUAAAAAGAAAGCAAACUUUUUCUUAGUUUAUGUCUGUAACAGAAUAUUGCAAAUAUUAUCUUUUGCAAAUAUUGCAGAACAGAAAAGUGAGAGAAAUAUGACUGGCAGACAUUGUACAGUCAAACAUCAUAUAAUGACAAAGCAUUAUUGGGAAAAGAUUUCCUAAUUCUUUUUAGGUUGUUUUCAUUUAACCCAGAUGCAGUAUUUUUGGUGAAAAUUGUUUUUUGUAUAUUGACAAAGAUGUUUUAUGUGUUACACUGUGAACUUCUUUCAGCCUUUAUUUUAAAAAGUAUUCUAACAUUUUCACUUUUAAGUUUUAUUUGCAGAGGUUGUAGUAUAUUGUUCCUUUUUUGUUAGUGUUCCACCCUGAAAUAUA